rnacentral:lncRNA from 1 species
AAAUGCCAAUAUUUACAUACAGGAAAGCUGGACUAUGGGUAUGUAAUUUUUGUUUUAGAUGGAAUUACGAAGUGGGUUAAUGGAGCUUAUUUAACGAUUAUUAUUGGGUUAAUGGGGUUUACAACACAAGUACACAACACAUUUAGACUCGAGGUGUUCUUUAUAACUUGUUUAUCACUAAUGGUGUUUACAAAUUACUAUAUUUAUGCAUGUACAAUCCUUUUAAUUCUCCAAGUGAUUGAUCAAUAUUUGUUCAAUAAAGUAGCUUUGCAGCCAUUUUUGUUGUUAGGUAAAAUUACCAAUAACUCAAUAAGUGAUUUGUCAGAAAAUGAUCUUAAUUGUGGAAAAACAUGUUUCAGUUCCAAUAGUCGAGAAGGUGAUAAGAACUUUGAUCAUAUAUAGAUAUUUUCAAAAUUUAAAAUUCUUGUGCAUUUGUCAAUAAAAUCUGCGAGAUCAAAAUUAACACAACAAGUUCAUUUUGUCUUCUCAAAUUAAACCAAACCAUAGAGAUUACUAGGUUGAACAAUCGAAACAUACAACAUAUUUUCUUGAAUAGUUUCUUUUAUGCAACAUGUUUCAUUUUAAUUUUAAUUUUUAUUAUUUUUUUUGGCAAAUUAUACAAACCCAUUUUUCAAUAUUUUUCAUUGGUCUUAUUCUGGUACUAGUAAGAUGAGUUGGCUUCCCUAUGUGGCAUUUAAAUUUACAAACAUUAUUCCAUGGUGUAUAUUCCUAGCUAGCCAUGUAAACACGAUGAUAUGUCAUCUUCCUCACUAAAUUUGACUGUUUCUUCUCCAUGUCUUUUAGCUCCAUCCUCAGUUCCAAGCUCAUUGUCUUCCCAGAUUCAAGUUUUGCCUCCAACAACUUCCUCAUCCCUUCCAAUUCUUUGUACUAGGUUUGUAGCUUACAUGGCAGUCUUUACUCUUUAGCUUGGUUUGCCGUUACUCCAUUACUUACACUCAACAUAUUUAUUCUAUUACACGUAAUCAUAUAAGUUGCAUCCCAGUACUCCGUCAUGCCAUAUCUCUCCUAUGACGGAAACGGUGAGUGAUGUUUAAAAUGCAAACUAGUGAAAGUAUGUUGUACAACCAGAAAAGUAAUGGUUGGAUGGACUGCAGCUAGCGAGAAAGUAUUUGUGUGUUUCGAUAGAUCAGCGUUACUAGUUACUAAUAAGCAACUAAUAAGUCUAACCAUGUAAAAACUUUGUUGUUCAGUUUUUGCUAUGUUCAGUUUUGACAAGCUGUAGACAAACAGUCAUAACUUUGGGCUCGGUAUUCCGAAUGGAGAUCUGUCUUUUGGGUUAGAAAGAGGAUUCUCUCAUCUUUCCAAUGGUAUAUGGCACGUCGUCUGGAGAUACGUAUUUUUGCAGAAAAAACGGCUUCGAAGUUCUGACAAGAAAAGUGCUUCUGGACAGCAGUUCUGACAGAUUUAUUGCCUCUGGACGGUAAAGUGUCUAUGGGCCUAUUUGGGCCCAUAACGUGGUAAAACCUAAUUUACCUUGUAAUACACUAUAUAAAGCCAUGAUGGUAUAGGAAACCUUAAGGAGUUUAAAAGAAGUUUUGGAAGCCAUAAGAAACAAAAGGCUAAGGGAGUUUUGAGAGAUUCAAAACUUGGAGAUUUGAGAUUUGGGAGGCUUUGGAGAAAACUUGGGGAGCAAUCUUUGUUGGGGGAUUUCUAGGUUUAUGUUCUUCUUGUAACGGGUGUGAGAGUGAGUUGUGUGAGAUCUCAUCUUGUAAUCCUUUUGGUGGAAGAUAAUAAAGUUCUUUGUUUUGCUUGUGGUGGUUUAUUCUCGUGAGGGUUCCACCAUGUAUAUCUUGUGUAUUGGUUUCGUUUUUCUUAUUAUCAUUGCUUGUUUCUUCUAGAUCUUGGGUUAUUCCGC